rnacentral:rRNA from 1 species
UACGGAGGGUGCAAGCGUUAUCCGGAUUCACUGGGUUUAAAGGGUGCGUAGGCGGAAUUAUAAGUCAGUGGUGAAAGCCCCGAGCUCAACUUGGGAACUGCCAUUGAUACUGUUUUUCUUGAGUGUGGAUGAAGUGGGCGGAAUAUGACAUGUAGCGGUGAAAUGCUUAGAUAUGUCAUAGAACACCGAUUGCGAAGGCAGCUCCCUAAACCAUUACUGACGCUGAGGCACUAAAGCGUCGGGAGCGAACAGG